rnacentral:rRNA from 1 species
UGGGGAAUAUUGCACAAUGGGCGCAAGCCUGAUGCAGCCAUGCCGCGUGUAUGAAGAAGGCCUUCGGGUUGUAAAGUACUUUCAGCGGGGAGGAAGGCGAUAAGGUUAAUAACCUUGUCGAUUGACGUUACCCGCAGAAGAAGCACCGGCUAACUCCGUGCCAGCAGCCGCGGUAAUACGGAGGGUGCAAGCGUUAAUCGGAAUUACUGGGCGUAAAGCGCACGCAGGCGGGCUGUCAAGUCGGAUGUGAAAUCCCCGGGCUCAACCUGGGAACUGCAUUCGAAACUGGCAGGCUAGAGUCUUGUAGAGGGGGGUAGAAUUCCAGGUGUAGCGGUGAAAUGCGUAGAGAUCUGGAGGAAUACCGGUGGCGAAGGUGGCCCCCUGGACAAAGACUGACGCUCAGGUGCGAAAGCGUGGGGAGCAAACA